GCUCUGGCAGCGACAGCACCCCCACCCGCCUCUUCAUUGAUCGGCACAAGCACGGCUUGUCCGGAAUCGGUUCUCCUGUGUUGGAUACCUACCUCGACGGCAUUCGGUUGGCUGAAGCAGCAGAUCUCCGUGCUGCGCUGCCGCUCCCUGCGGGCGAGCGGCGCGGGACGGAUCCCGCAGCGCGCGUCGUGCUUCGCCCCGCAUUCACCCGUACGCACGGGUGAUUUGGCGGCCGACCCACGAUGCGACGCUCGUUGUCUCGGGAACGGAAUACAGAGUGGGUGCGGGGUCCUCCGCGGGCCUCGGAGCCACGACACAAAUGCGUUCUACGCUUUAUGCGAACGACGGUCGUCUCGACACCCGGCUGCGGCCGCCCCGGCGGCGCGGUCGGGUUCGCGUCGGCGUCGGUGAAGGAUGCUACCUGGUUGAUCCUGCCAGUAGUC
rnacentral:misc_RNA from 1 species